UACGUAGGUGGCAAGCGUUGUCCGGAUUUAUUGGGUUUAAAGGGUGCGUAGGUGGUCUAUUAAGUCAGUGCUGAAAUAUCCCGGCUUAACCGGGAGGGUGGCAUUGAUACUGAUAGACUUGAGUAGAGUUGAGGUAGGCGGAAUUGACGGUGUAGCGGUGAAAUGCUUAGAUAUCGUCAAGAACACCAAUAGCGAAGGCAGCUUACUAAGCUCUAACUGACACUGAUGCACGAAAGUGUGGGGAUCAAACAGG
rnacentral:rRNA from 1 species